rnacentral:rRNA from 1 species
GACGAACGCUGGCGGCGUGGAUUAGGCAUGCAAGUCGAACGGUAUCAUCCUUUCGGGGGUGAGAGAGUGGCGAACUGGUGAGUAACACGUAGGUUAUCUACCCUCAAGACGGGGACAACCCAGGGAAACUUGGGCUAAUACCGGAUGUGAGCAACUUUUAGUUGUUUGAAAGGUGGCGUAAGCUGUCGCUUGGGGAUGAGCCUGCGUCCUAUUAGUUAGUUGGUGAGGUAACGGCUCACCUAGGCAAUGAUAGGUAGGCGGCCUUAACGGGUGGUCGCCCACACUGGGAUUGAGAUACGGCCCAGACUCCUACGGGAGGCAGCAGUCGAGAAUAGUCUACAAUGGUCGGAAGACUGAUAGUGCGACGCCGCGUGAACGAUGAAUCCCUUCGGGGUGUAAAGUUCUUUUAUAUGUGAGCAGUGCUUCUUAUUUAACAGUAUGGGGAGAGAGAUAUUAGCAUAUGAAUAAGCAACGGCUAACUCCGUGCCAGCAGCCGCGGU